CAGACUCGGCCUGGGGGAGCUGCUGGAGCCCUUGGAGGGAGGGAGAGCCCUCACUUCAAAGGCCUCAUCGCUGAGAAUUCCAGCCACAGCCUUCCAGAAAGAUGAUCAACCACAGGCAGCAAAGGGAAAAUGACUUCUGGUACUUUCUUUGCUUCCCUGCAGAAGAGCCCACUGCCCAGCCCGCUGGCCAGCCAAGGUCUCCUGGCUGACAAAGCUGAGGUUUGGUGGCAUGGUUGUUGUGGAGCAAGAUGCUAAGGAAGCAGGUCCCGCCACGCUGCAGGAGGGCUGGGCCGGCUGCGGCGCCUUCUCUCCUGGUGUGUGGCUGAGGAGAUAAAGCCCAUUGCGUCAGAGCUCUAUGUGCCCCUUGCAGUUUGCGUGGCUUUCCUUCAGAGCAGAGAUGGCCCCGCCUUCCGAUCAUUUCAUUCCCCAGGAUGCUCACCCUUGAAAGUCAGGCCACCUGGAGAGCUUAUGUGGAGGUGUUUCGGUUGACAUCUGCUGCAGUCCCAGUCAGCACGUGGCAUCAACUGGCAGACAUGUGAAGAAUGAGCCUUCAGUUGAUCCCAGCCCACAGCCUUUGAGCCACCCCAGCUGGUGCAAGGUACAGCAGAGAGGAGUUGUUCCCGCCAAAACCCUGCCCAAAUUGCAGAUGCAUGAGCAAAAUAAACGGUGUAACUGAGAUUUGGGAGUUGGUGACAUUGCAGUAGAUAACAAGAGCAUUCUAUCAACUUGCAUGAAAAACGUUAAACACCCAAUAUUGAGUACUCCAAAGGGUAAAAGGGCUAUAGAGACAUCAGACUGUUUUACCAGUGAGCCCAUGCAACCAAAGACAGACAGACAUGGAGGGACGGAA